UUUCACGACUUGACCUCGGAUCA
rnacentral:rRNA from 1 species